AUUGAACGCUGGCGGCAGGCUUAACACAUGCAAGUCGAGCGGGGGAAGGUAGCUUGCUACCGGACCUAGCGGCGGACGGGUGAGUAAUGCUGAGGAAUCUGCCUAUUAGUGGGGGACAACAUCUCGAAAGGGAUGCUAAUACCGCAUACGUCCUACGGGAGAAAGCAGGGGCUCAUCGGACCUUGCGCUAAUAGAUGAGCCUAAGUCGGAUUAUCUAGUUGGUGGGGUAAAGGCCUACCAAGGCGACGAUCUGUAGCCGGUCUGAGAGGAUGAUCCGCCACACUGGGACUGCGACACGGCCCAGACUCCUACGGGAGGCAGCAGUGGGGAAUAUUGGACAAUGGGGGGACCCCUGAUCCAGCCAUGCCGCGUGUGUGAAGAAGGCCUUAUGGUUGUAAAGCACUUUAAGCGAGGAGGAGGCUACUCUAGUUAAUACCUAGGGAUAGUGGACGUUACUCGCAGAAUAAGCACCGGCUAACUCUGUGCCAGCAGCCGCCGUAA
rnacentral:rRNA from 1 species